AAGUCAGGAAACAACAGGUGCUGGAGAGGAUGUGGAGAAAUAGGAACACUUUUACACUGUUGGUGGGACUGUAAACUAGUUCAGUCAUUGUGGAAGUCAGUGUGGCGAUUCCUCAGGGAUCUAGAACUAGAAAUACCAUUUGACCCAGCCAUCCCAUUACUGGGUAUAUACCCAAAGGACUAUAAAUCAUGCUGCUAUAAAGACACAUGCACACGUAUGUUUACUGCGGCAUUAUUCACAAUAGCAAAGACUUGGAACCAACCGAAAUGUCCAACAAUGAUAGACUGGAUUAAGAAAAUGUGGCACAUAUACACCAUGGAAUAUUAUGCAGCCAUAAAAAAUGAUGAGUUCAUGUCCUUCAUAGGGACAUGGAUGAAAUUGGAAAUCAUCAUUCUCAGUAAACUCUUGCAAGAACAAAAAACCAAACACCGCAUAUUCUCACUCAUAGGUGGGAGUUGAACAAUGAGAACACAUGGACACAGGAAGGGGAACAUCACACUCUGGGGACUGUUGUGGGGUGGGGGUAGUGGGGAGGGAUAGCACUGGGAGAUACACCUAAUGCUAGAUGACGAGUUAAUGGGUGCAGCGCACCAGCAUGGCACAUGUAUACAUAUGUAACUAACCUGCACAUUGUGCACAUGUACCCUCAAACUUAAAGUAUAAUAAAAAAAAAGAAAAGUCAUACUUAAAAAAAAAAAAAGAACUGCUUCUAUUGGGUGAAAACAGUGAUUUUUCUGAGAUUCUAAGGCAUUACAGUUUUUCCUGCCACUGAGCAGUUUAAUACUAGAUAAUUGCAUUUUGGUAUGCAAUCAUUGGCCUAAAUAUAGUAUAACUAUAGGGAAAAAAAGCCCCUUUAUCUUUGCUAUUAUUUACUUAUUUAUUUAUUUAUUGUAGAAUAUUUGGAGUUUUUUUUAUCUUAUUGGAUGUGGCUCUCAUCCUUGCUAACCUAAUUUUCACUGAUAGCAAAGUUUAUAUUCCUUUGGAUUAUCAUUCUAUUUUUUCUAGCUAUUGCCUUAUUUUUUCUCAUGAAUGGUCUUCUUCGAGUAUUUGUAGAAGGGUAAGUUUGAUUAUUUUCAUAAUGCAUAAAGCUAUUUUGUACUUUUAUAAGAAGCACUUUGUGAGACUGAGGCAGGAGGAUCAGGAGGUCAGGAGUUCAAGACCACUGCACCCAGCCUAAAUCAUUGUCUUAUAAAGAUACAUGCAUGCAUGCAUAGACAUGGAAUCAAUCUAAAUGCCAUCAAUGAUAGAUUGGAUAAUGAAAAUGUGGUACAUAGAGAGAAUGGGACAUCUGGCUUCCGAGCAGAAACCUUUGUAGUGCCAGCGAUGAAAGAGAUAAUUAAAUACGGGUGAUGUUGAGAAAGGCAAGAAGAUUUUUGUUCAGAAGUGUGCCCAGUGCCACACCGUGGAAAGGGAGGCAAGCACAAGACUGGGCCUAAUCUCCAUGGUCUCUUCAGGCAGGAGACAGGUCAGGCCAUUGGAUUCUCUUACACAGAUGCCAAUAAGAACAAAGGCAUCACCUGGGGGGAGGAUACACUGAUGGAGUAUGUGGAGAAUCCCAAGAAGUACAUCCCUGGAACAAAAAUGAUCUUUGCCGGCAUUAAGAAGGCAGAAAGGCAGACUUGAUAGCUUAUCUCAAAAAAGCUAUUAGUGGGUAACAAUUUUCCACUGCCUUAUUUAUUAAAAAACAGAAAUGUCUCCUGACUUUUUUGUGUGUACCAUAAUUUAAUAGAUCUCAUACACCAGACUUCAGAUCAUGAAUGACUGAGAGCAUAUUUUGUUGGACAGUCCUGAUUUAAAACUAAGACUGGCUUGUGAUUAAAUGAAUAAGUUUGGUAGUUUGGUUUUUGAAUUUUAAUAAGUAAUUUUAAUUCAGUAAAUGCUAUCACUGUUUACCCCUUCUAAAGAUAUGAUUAGACUUUGUUAAUAAUGUUCAACUUUUCACAAAGAUGGUGAGUGCCAUCUUAAAACUUAUUGGAGAGUGGUUUUAUAUUUAGAUUUAUAUAACUGGUUAUGUGAAUAUAUUUAAAUACUGGGGAAAUUCCUUCACUGUCUCAAAACCAUGCAAGAUUCACAUAUAUUUUGUGUUUAUUUGCUUCUUAAAGGCCAGGGUUGAAGAUAAGGUAGCAAUGUUUACUUUAUAUUUUUGGCCUUAACUAUGCCAAUCUAAUUAGAAUUCCCUGUAUUUAAAAUGGUUCCUUUUACUUAUUGAAUGGUAUUUUAGUGUGGUUUAUGUGUAAUAUCAAAUAAAGAUUAUUUAACACUUAAAAAAAUAAAAAAAUAAAAUGUGGUACAUAAACACCAUGGAAAACUAUGCAGCCAUAAAAAGGAACGAGAUUACAUCCUUUGCAGGGACAUGGAUGGAGCUGGAAGCUGUCAUCCUCAGCAAACUAACACAGGAACAGAAAACCAAACACUGCAUGUUCUCACUUGUAUGUGGGAGUUGACGAUGAGAACACAUGGCCACAUGGUGGGGAACAACACACACUGG
rnacentral:lncRNA from 1 species